CAUGCAAGUCGAACGAGCGAGAGAGAGCUUGCUUUCUCAAGCGAGUGGCGAACGGGUGAGUAACGCGUGAGGAACCUGCCUCAAAGAGGGGGACAACAGUUGGAAACGACUGCUAAUACCGCAUAAGCCCACGACCCGGCAUCGGGUAGAGGGAAAAGGAGCAAUCCGCUUUGAGAUGGCCUCGCGUCCGAUUAGCUAGUUGGUGAGGUAACGGCCCACCAAGGCGACGAUCGGUAGCCGGACUGAGAGGUUGAACGGCCACAUUGGGACUGAGACACGGCCCAGACUCCUACGGGAGGCAGCAGUGGGGAAUAUUGCACAAUGGGGGAAACCCUGAUGCAGCGACGCCGCGUGGAGGAAGAAGGUCUUCGGAUUGUAAACUCCUGUUGUUGAGGAAGAUAAUGACGGUACUCAACAAGGAAGUGACGGCUAACUACGUGCCAGCAGCCGCGGUAAAACGUAGGUCACAAGCGUUGUCCGGAAUUACUGGGUGUAAAGGGAGCGCAGG
rnacentral:rRNA from 1 species